rnacentral:rRNA from 1 species
AGCUGGGGGGGUGCUAUACAUGCAAGUCGAGCGAACGGACGAGAAGCUUGCUUCUCUGAUGUUAGCGGCGGACGGGUGAGUAACACGUGGAUAACCUACCUAUAAGACUGGGAUAACUUCGGGAAACCGGAGCUAAUACCGGAUAAUAUUUUGAACCGCAUGGUUCAAAAGUGAAAGACGGUCUUGCUGUCACUUAUAGAUGGAUCCGCGCUGCAUUAGCUAGUUGGUAAGGUAACGGCUUACCAAGGCAACGAUGCAUAGCCGACCUGAGAGGGUGAUCGGCCACACUGGAACUGAGACACGGUCCAGACUCCUACGGGAGGCAGCAGUAGGGAAUCUUCCGCAAUGGGCGAAAGCCUGACGGAGCAACGCCGCGUGAGUGAUGAAGGUCUUCGGAUCGUAAAACUCUGUUAUUAGGGAAGAACAUAUGUGUAAGUAACUGUGCACAUCUUGACGGUACCUAAUCAGAAAGCCACGGCUAACUACGUGCCAGCAGCCGCGGUAAUACGUAGGUGGCAAGCGUUAUCCGGAAUUAUUGGGCGUAAAGCGCGCGUAGGCGGUUUUUUAAGUCUGAUGUGAAAGCCCACGGCUCAACCGUGGAGGGUCAUUGGAAACUGGAAAACUUGAGUGCAGAAGAGGAAAGUGGAAUUCCAUGUGUAGCGGUGAAAUGCGCAGAGAUAUGGAGGAACACCAGUGGCGAAGGCGACUUUCUGGUCUGUAACUGACGCUGAUGUGCGAAAGCGUGGGGAUCAAACAGGAUUAGAUACCCUGGUAGUCCACGCCGUAAACGAUGAGUGCUAAGUGUUAGGGGGUUUCCGCCCCUUAGUGCUGCAGCUAACGCAUUAAGCACUCCGCCUGGGGAGUACGACCGCAAGGUUGAAACUCAAAGGAAUUGACGGGGACCCGCACAAGCGGUGGAGCAUGUGGUUUAAUUCGAAGCAACGCGAAGAACCUUACCAAAUCUUGACAUCCUUUGACAACUCUAGAGAUAGAGCUUUCCCCUUCGGGGGACAAAGUGACAGUGGGUGCAUGGUUGUCGUCAG